AUGGCAAUGUUGCCUCCCCCGGGACCUCAGAGCUUUGUCUUCUUCACAAAACAGUCUCUUGCCCUCAUCGAACAACGUAUUGCUGAAGGAAAAGCAAAGGAACCCAAAGAAGAAAAGAAAGAUGAUGACGAAGAAGGGCCAAAGCCAAGCAGUGACUUGGAAGCCGGCAAACAGCUGCCCUUCAUCUAUGGGGACAUUCCUCCAGGCAUGGUGUCAGAGCCCCUGGAGGACUUGGACCCUUACUAUGCAGACAAAAAAACUUUCAUAGUGUUGAACAAAGGCAAAGCAAUCUUCCGUUUCAAUGCCACACCUGCUUUGUACAUGCUCUCUCCUUUCAGUCCUCUCAGAAGAAUAUCUAUUAAGAUUUUAGUACAUGCCGCAUUCAGCAUGCUUAUCAUGUGCACUAUUUUGACGAACUGCAUAUUUAUGACCAUGAGUAAUCCUCCAGACUGGACCAAGAAUGUAGAGUACACUUUUACUGGAAUAUAUACUUUUGAGUCACUUGUGAAAAUCCUUGCAAGAGGAUUCUGUGUAGGAGAAUUCACUUUUCUUCGUGACCCAUGGAACUGGCUUGAUUUCAUAGUCAUUGUCUUUGCAUAUGUGACAGAGUUUGUGGACCUGGGCAAUGUCUCAGCGUUGAGAACAUUCAGAGUUCUCCGAGCUUUGAAAACAAUUUCAGUCAUUCCAGGCCUGAAGACCAUCGUGGGGGCCCUGAUCCAGUCUGUGAAAAAGCUCUCAGAUGUCAUGAUCCUGACUGUGUUCUGUCUGAGCGUGUUUGCCCUGAUUGGGCUGCAGCUCUUUAUGGGCAACCUGAAGCACAAGUGUGUGCAGACUUCACUUGCGAAUAAUGAAACAAUAGAAGACAUAUUGAAUACCCUCGAUGAAGAAGAAUAUGCAAAAUAUUUUUAUUACUUGGAGGGAUCCAAAGAUGCUCUCCUUUGUGGUUUCAGCACCGAUUCAGGUCAGUGUCCUGAAGGGUACACCUGUAAGAAGAUUGGCAGAAAUCCUGACUAUGGCUACACGAGCUUCGAUACUUUCAGUUGGGCCUUCUUGGCCUUGUUUCGGCUAAUGACCCAGGAUUACUGGGAAAACCUUUACCAACAGACCCUGCGUGCUGCUGGGAAAACCUACAUGAUCUUCUUUGUUGUGGUGAUUUUCCUGGGAUCCUUUUAUCUAAUAAACUUGAUCUUGGCUGUUGUUGCCAUGGCCUAUGAAGAACAGAACCAGGCCAACAUUGAAGAAGCGAGGCAGAAAGAGUUGGAAUUUCAGCAGAUGCUAGAUCGACUUAAAAAAGAGCAAGAGGAAGCUGAGGCAAUAGCAUUAGCAGCAGCUGAAUAUACCAGCAUUGGGAGAAGCAGAAUAAUGGGUCUCUCUGAGAGUUCUUCUGAAACAUCCAAACUGAGCUCUAAAAGUGCUAAAGAAAGAAGAAACAGGAGAAGGAAAAAGAACCAAAAGAAACUCUCCAGUGGGGAAGAAAAGGGAGAUGAUGAGAAACUGUCCAAAUCGGAAUCCGAGGAGAGCAUCAGGAGAAAAAGUUUCCACCUUGGUGUUGAAGGUCAUAGGCGAGCACGUGAAAAAAGAUUGUCUACCCCCAACCAGUCACCACUCAGCAUCCGAGGCUCCCUGUUUUCUGCAAGGCGGAGCAGCAGAACAAGUCUUUUCAGCUUCAAAGGUCGAGGAAGAGAUAUUGGAUCUGAGACUGAAUUUGCCGAUGACGAGCACAGCAUCUUUGGUGACAACGAGAGCAGAAGGGGCUCCCUGUUUGUGCCCCACAGACCUCGGGAGCGGCGCAGCAGUAACAUCAGCCAAGCCAGUAGGUCUCCCCCAGUGCUGCCAGUGAAUGGGAAGAUGCACAGCGCUGUCGACUGCAACGGCGUGGUCUCCUUGGUGGAUGGACCUUCCGCCCUCAUGCUACCCAAUGGACAGCUCCUGCCAGAGGGUACAACCAAUCAAAUAUACAAGAAAAGACGUCACAGUUCUUACCUCCUUUCUGAGGAUAUGUUGAAUGACCCCAAUCUCAGACAAAGGGCAAUGAGUAGGGCAAGCAUAUUAACAAACACUGUAGAAGAACUUGAGGAGUCCAGACAGAAAUGUCCACCUUGGUGGUACAGAUUUGCACACACAUUCUUGAUCUGGAAUUGCUCUCCGUAUUGGAUAAAAUUCAAAAAAUUUAUCUAUUUUAUUGUAAUGGAUCCUUUUGUAGAUCUUGCUAUUACCAUUUGCAUAGUUUUAAACACAUUGUUCAUGGCUAUGGAACAUCACCCAAUGACUGAGGAAUUCAAAAAUGUGCUCGUUGUGGGAAAUUUGGUCUUUACUGGCAUCUUUGCAGCUGAAAUGGUUUUAAAACUAAUUGCCAUGGAUCCAUAUGAGUAUUUCCAAAUAGGAUGGAAUAUUUUUGAUAGUCUUAUCGUGACCUUAAGCUUAGUGGAACUUUUUCUAUCGGAUGUGGAAGGAUUGUCAGUUCUACGAUCAUUCAGACUGCUCCGAGUUUUCAAGUUGGCAAAAUCUUGGCCAACACUGAACAUGCUGAUCAAGAUCAUUGGCAAUUCAGUGGGGGCUCUGGGAAACCUCACCCUGGUGUUGGCCAUCAUCGUCUUCAUUUUUGCCGUGGUCGGCAUGCAGCUCUUUGGUAAGAGCUACAAAGAAUGUGUCUGCAAGAUCAAUGAAGACUGCAAACUCCCUCGCUGGCACAUGAACGACUUCUUCCACUCCUUCCUGAUUGUGUUCCGGGUGCUGUGUGGAGAGUGGAUAGAGACCAUGUGGGACUGCAUGGAGGUCGCCGGGCAAGCCAUGUGCCUUAUUGUUUACAUGAUGGUCAUGGUCAUUGGAAACCUGGUGGUCCUCAACCUAUUUCUUGCUUUAUUACUGAGCUCAUUUAGUUCAGACAAUCUUACAGCAAUUGAAGAAGACACUGAUGCAAACAACCUGCAGAUUGCAGUGGCCAGAAUUAAGACGGGAAUAAACUAUGUGAAACAAACCUUACGUGAGUUUGUUCUAAAAGCAUUUUCCAAAAAGCCAAAGAUUUCCAAAGAGAUAAGACAAACAGAAGAUCUAAAUUGUAAAAAGGAAAACUACAUCUCUAACCGCACGCUUGCUGAAAUGAGCAAGGAUCACAAUUUCCACAAAGAAAAAGAUAAAACCAGUGGUUUUGGAAACAACAUGGACAAAUACUUAAUGGAAGAAAGUGAUGGUCAAUCAUUUAUUCAUAAUCCCAGCCUCACAGUGACAGUGCCCAUUGCACCUGGGGAAUCUGAUUUGGAAAUUAUGAACACUGAGGAACUUAGCAGUGAUUCAGAUAGCGAAUACAGCAAAGGGAGGCUGAACCAAUCAAGUUCCUCAGAGUGCAGCACAGUUGAUAACCCUGUGCCUGGAGAAGGAGAAGAGGCAGAGGCUGAGCCUGUAAAUUCAGAUGAGCCAGAGGCCUGUUUCACAGAUGGUUGUGUACAGAGGUUCCCAUGCUGUCAAGUCAACAUAGAAUCGGGGAAAGGAAAAAUCUGGUGGAACAUCAGGAAAACCUGCUUCAGGAUAGUUGAGCAUAGUUGGUUUGAAAGCUUCAUUGUUCUCAUGAUCUUGCUCAGCAGUGGUGCUCUGGCUUUUGAAGAUAUAUACAUUGAAAAGAAAAAGACCAUUAAGAUUAUCCUGGAGUAUGCUGACAAGAUAUUCACUUAUAUCUUCAUUCUGGAAAUGCUUCUAAAAUGGGUAGCAUAUGGUUACAAAACCUAUUUCACCAAUGCCUGGUGUUGGCUGGAUUUCUUAAUUGUCGAUGUGGUUGUGAAUGCACUCAUCGGCGCAAUUCCUUCUAUCAUGAAUGUGCUGCUAGUGUGCCUCAUAUUCUGGCUGAUAUUCAGCAUCAUGGGAGUAAAUUUGUUUGCUGGGAAGUUUUAUGAGUGUAUUAACACCACAAAUGGACUACGGUUUCCUACGAAUGAAGUUGAAAACCGUUCUGCCUGUCUUGCGCUUAUGAAUGUUAGUCAAAAUGUGCGAUGGAAAAACCUAAAAGUGAACUUUGAUAAUGUUGGACUUGGUUACCUGUCUCUACUUCAAGUGGCAACGUUUAAGGGAUGGAUGGAUAUUAUGUAUGCAGCAGUUGAUUCUGUUAACGUAGACAAGCAGCCCAUUUAUGAAUACAGCCUCUACAUGUAUAUUUAUUUUGUCAUCUUCAUCAUCUUUGGGUCAUUCUUCACUUUGAACUUGUUCAUUGGUGUCAUCAUAGAUAAUUUCAACCAACAGAAAAAGAAGCUUGGAGGUCAAGAUAUCUUUAUGACAGAAGAACAGAAGAAAUAUUACAAUGCGAUGAAAAAGCUGGGAUCCAAGAAACCACAAAAGCCAAUACCUCGGCCAGGGAACAAAUUCCAAGGAUGUAUCUUUGACCUAGUAACAAACCAAGCUUUUGAUAUAGCCAUCAUGGUUCUGAUCUGCCUCAACAUGGUAACCAUGAUGGUAGAAAAAGAGGGACAAAGUGAAUACAUGACUGAAGUUUUAUAUUGGAUCAAUGUGGUUUUUAUUAUCCUGUUCUCUGGAGAAUGUGUGCUGAAACUGAUCUCUCUCAGAUGCUACUACUUCACUGUAGGCUGGAACAUCUUCGAUUUUGUGGUUGUAAUUCUCUCCAUUGUAGGUAUGUUUCUGGCAGAUUUGAUAGAAAGGUAUUUUGUGUCCCCUACCCUAUUCCGAGUGAUCCGUCUUGCCAGGAUUGGCCGAAUCCUGCGUCUGAUCAAAGGGGCCAAGGGGAUCCGCACACUGCUCUUUGCUUUGAUGAUGUCCCUUCCUGCGCUGUUUAACAUCGGCCUCCUGCUCUUCCUGGUCAUGUUCAUCUAUGCCAUCUUUGGAAUGUCCAACUUCGCCUAUGUUAAAAAGGAAGCUGGAAUUAAUGACAUGUUCAACUUUGAGACCUUUGGCAACAGCAUGAUCUGCCUGUUCCAGAUUACCACCUCUGCUGGCUGGGAUGGAUUGCUAGCGCCUAUCCUCAACAGUGCACCACCGGACUGUGACCCCAAAAAAGUUCACCCUGGAAGCUCAGUUGAAGGAGACUGUGGGAACCCAUCUGUCGGGAUAUUCUAUUUCGUCAGUUACAUCAUCAUAUCAUUUCUGGUCGUAGUGAACAUGUACAUCGCUGUCAUCCUGGAGAACUUCAGUGUUGCUACUGAGGAAAGUACUGAGCCCCUGAGUGAGGACGAUUUUGAGAUGUUCUAUGAGGUUUGGGAGAAGUUUGAUCCAGAUGCGACUCAAUUUAUAGAAUAUAGCAAACUCUCUGACUUUGCAGCUGCACUGGAUCCUCCUCUUCUCAUAGCAAAACCAAACAAAGUCCAGCUCAUUGCCAUGGACCUGCCCAUGGUCAGUGGGGACAGGAUCCACUGCCUUGACAUCUUAUUUGCUUUUACAAAGCGUGUUUUGGGGGAAGGUGGAGAGAUGGACUCUCUUCGUUCACAGAUGGAAGAAAGGUUCAUGUCUGCAAAUCCUUCUAAAGUGUCUUAUGAGCCCAUCACAACUACACUAAAAAGAAAGCAAGAGGAUGUGUCUGCUACAGUUAUUCAGCGUGCUUACAGACGUUACCGCUUACGGCAACAUGUCAAAAAUAUAUCAAGUAUAUACAUCAAAGAUGGUGACAGAGAUGAUGAUUUGCCCAAUAAAGAACAUAUGGUUUUUGAUAAUGUUAAUGAGAACUCAAGUCCAGAAAAAACAGAUGCAACUCCAUCCACUGUCUCUCCACCUUCAUAUGAUAGUGUAACAAAACCAGACAGAGAGAAAUAUGAAAAAGACAAAACAGAAAAGGAAGACAAAGGGAAAGAUGGCAAGGAAGGCAAAAAAUAG
rnacentral:lncRNA from 1 species